GAUGAAGAACGUAGUGAAAUGCGAUAAUUAAUGUGAAUUGCAGAAUUCAGUGAAUCAUCGAAUCUUUGAACGCACAUUGCGCCCCUUGGUAUUCCGGGGGGCAUGCCUGUUCGAGCGUCAUUAUAACCCCUCAAGCUCAGCUUGGUGUUGGGGCCUGCCAACUGGCAGCCCUUAAAAUCAGUGGCGGCGCCAUCUGGCUCUAAGCGUAGUAAUUUCUCUCGCUAUAGGGUCCCGGUGGAUGCUGGCCAACAACCCCCAAUUUUCUAUGGUUGACCUCGGAUCAGGUAGGGAUACCCGCUGAACUUAAGCAUAUCAAUAAGCGGAGGA
rnacentral:misc_RNA from 1 species